rnacentral:tRNA from 1 species
UGCGGGCGGGCGGGUGCUCGGCCGGGUCUCAUAAGCCUGGACGCUUGGUUCGAGUCCAAGGUCCGCAAC